UGAACGCUAGCUACAGGCUUAACACAUGGCAAGUCGAGGGGCAGCAUGGUCUUAGCUUGCUAAGACCGAUGGCGACCGGCGCACGGGUGAGUAACGCGUAUCCAACCUGGGCCUUUAGUAGGGGAAUAGCCCGGCGAAAGUCGGAUUAAUGCCCUAUGUUGUCCUAUGCAGGCAUCUAAUUAGGACCAAAGAUUUAUCGCUAGAGGAUGGGGAUGCGUCUGAUUAGGUUGUAGGCGGGUAACGGCCCACCUAGCCGACGAUCAGUAGGGGUUCUGAGAGGAAGGUCCCCCACAUUGGUACUGAGACACGGACCAAACUCCUACGGGAGGCAGCAGUGAGGAAUAUUGGUCAAUGGGCGCGAGCCUGAACCAGCCAAGUAGCGUGCAGGAUGACUGCCCUAUGGGUUGUAAACUGCUUUUAUGCGGGAAUAAAGUUCAGUACGCGUGCUGUUUUGUAUGUACCGCAUGAAUAAGGACCGGCUAAUUCCGUGCC
rnacentral:rRNA from 1 species